AGCGUUCCACAGGGAUGCUGGCCCCAUGUUGACUCUACAAGGUGUUGAAAGCGUUCCACAGGGAUGCUGGCCCAUGUUGACUCUACAAGGUGUUGAAAGCGUUCCACAGGGAUGCUGGCCCAUGUUGACUCUACAAGGUGUUGAAAGCGUUCCACAGGGAUGCUGGCCCAUGUUGACUCUACAAGGUGUCUAAAGCGUUCCACAGGGAUGCUGGCCCAUGUUGACUCUACAAGGUGUUGAAAGCGUUCCACAGGGAUGCUGGCCCAUGUUGACUCUACAAGGUGUUGAAAGCGUUCCACAGGGAUGCUGGCCCAUGUUGACUCUACAAGGUGUCUAAAGCGUUCCACAGGGAUGCUGGCCCCAUGUUGACUCUACAAGGUGUCUAAAGCGUUCCACAGGGAUGCUGGCCCCAUGUUGACUCUACAAGGUGUCUAAAGCGUUCCACAGGGAUGCUGGCCCCAUGUUGACUCUACAAGGUGUCUAAAGCGUUCCACAGGGAAACUGGCCCAUGUUGACUCCAAUGCUCCCCACAGUUGUCUAGUUGGCUGGAUGUCCUUCAGGUAGUGGACCGUUCUUGAUACAACACGGGAAACUGUUGAGCAUGAAAAAACCCAGCAGCGUUGCAGUUCUUAACACAAACCGGUUCGCCACCAGGCACCUACUACCAUACCCUGUUCAAAGGAACUUAAAGAUGUUGUCUUGCCCCAUUCACCCUCUGAGUGGCACACACAUACACAAUCCAUGUCUCAAUUAUCACAAGGCUUAAACAUCCUUCUUUAACCACCCGUCUCCUCCUCUUCAUCUACACUGAUUGGAUUUAACAAAUGACAUCAAUAAGGGGAUCAUAUCUUUCACCUGGAUUCACCUGGUCAGUCUUUGUCAUGGAAAGAGCAGGUGUUCCUAAUGUUUUGUGCACUCAGUGUAUAUAGGGAAAAGACAGUCAAUUCAGACGCAGACAUGGCCUUGUGCACGAGUGGUAAUG